GUCACCUGUGCCGAGGGAGCCUGGCGCUGGAUUAAGGUAAGCAAAUAAAUGGUUAAUUAACCAUUUAUUUGCCCGGGAAGGGGCCCUAGUCAAUUAGAAAUACAUAUUUGAAUUCCUAACGCUAUAGUGUUCCUUUAAAGAAUGAGAGGUUUCCUACAUAUGGCCAUCAUAUGUCAAUGCUCCUAACCAAGUGAGCCUGAAAAGGCCAACAGUUUUCCU